UUGAUUUUUAAAAGUUUGCAUGGUUUUUGUUCGUAAUUAUCGCAAUAAAUUAUGGAAAAUAGCAGCUGCUACAGCACAAUUAUUGCUAAUUAUCAUUUGUUCUUGAAAUUAAUGGAUAUGAAGAAAUGCAAAAUUAUUACAGAUGUAAUUUUGGUUCACUUGGCGCAAGAAUAUGUAACUGUCAAAUCCUCUACCUCCUGGAGCAUUUACUCUAUGUUAAAAAGUGCCAUUUUAGUAAAGAAAAAUGUAUACAUAGCCACUUUCCCAAAGACUAUCGCAUAUUUUAAAGGAAGAAUGUUGAUUAUAGAGUAAAGAAAUCAGAAGUCUUCCAUAGCGAGCAGAUAAACACAUUCAUUGGCAAGCUUUAUUUUCAAUUAGCAACAAAUAAUUGGGUUAGCCGGUGGGUGUAGACGGGAAGAACUAACAAAAGUGUCAAUUGAUCCAAUGAACUAUGGACUACUGUCGCUUGUGAAAAAAACAAUAUACCAAAAUACAUAUUGGAUGAAAUUUUGAUGUAAUUAGGCAAGAAAACCUGCUGUUGCACUAUUCAUCUUUACGCCCAUCCCAUACUCCAAAUAACAGAUUAUUCGUGACUUACAAAAAAAAAAUUCUAUUCAGCCUGUUGGUAUCCAGAUUUAGGAAUCCUGGUUAAAAAUCGCAGAAAUUUUAAAUUUACCAAAUUCUAAAAAUUACAGAGAGCAUUUAACAUUCGUCGGACUUCAGCGACGUUAUUUGCUGAUAGUGGUGGAGACAUCACAAAUUUGAAGAGUCAGAGAGGCUGGAAGUCUACCAAUGUCGCUGAAAGAUAUAUAGACAAUUCACUCACAAAUGAAAUUAAAAUUGACCAUUCAAAAAUUUUCAGAUGAAACUGUGCCUUUUUGUUGUGACAUCAACAAAAGUCAUUUAAAUAUUU